AGUGAACGCUGGCGGUAGGCCUAACACAUGCGAGUCGAACGGCAGCACAGUAAGAGCUUGCUCUUACGGGUGGCGAGUGGCGGACGGGUGAGGCAUACAUCGGAUUCUUCUUUUUCGUGGGGGAUAACGUAGGGCCACUUACGCUAAUACCGCAUACGACCUACGGGUGAAAGCAGGGGAUCUUCGCACCUUGCGCGAUUGAAUUAGCCGAUGCCGGAUUAGCUAGUUGGCGGGGUAAAGGCCCACCAAGGCGACGAUGCGUAGCUGGUCUGAGAGGAUGAUCAGCCACACUGGAACUGAGACACGGUCCAGACUCCUACGGGAGGCAGCAGUGGGGAAUAUUGGACAAUAGGCGAAAGCCUGAUCCAGCCAUACCGCGUGGGUGAAGAAGGCCUUCGGGUUGUAAAGCCCUUUUGUUGGGAAAGAAAAGCAGCAGGUUAAUACCCCGCUGUUCUGACGGUACCCAAAGAAUAAGCACCGGCUAACUUCGUG
rnacentral:rRNA from 1 species